UUUUAAAAUUUUAAUUUUACUAUCUAAACAAUUUGUUUGAUUGAGUCCGGCAAUAGUAAUUUGACUCUAAGUUUUAAAUAAGUCAUUAUCUUUAUAAAUUUAAUGAAUAUACUUCGUAUAAUUCUCACAACUAUUAAAUCAUUAAAUUAAAUAAUUAGCUUAAAUUUUGAAUUCAAAGUAUUGGUGACUGACUCGGAUCAAAUAAAUAGAAUGUUUCUGUAGUAAAAUCAAAAUUUUGGAAAAUGGAUGGCCGAUUCAAAAUGGUCCAUACUGCAGGUAAGUUCUGUAUACUUUUUACCUCACAAUUACUUCUCGUUUUUACUUUUCUUUUUAUUUCCGUUUUAUGAAUUUGUUUGCACGCACCUAAUCCUAAAAAUCCUCUCGGAAAAUACUAUAGGGACUAUUUAGUUGCAUAUAGUUGUAACUACACUGUAGUUUUUGCUGUGUGCGUAUCAAAAUACAGUAUUCGGUUUGAAGUAUUUGAAUCCAACUAUUGUAGUUGGAAUUACACAAGGAGAAUCAACUGC
rnacentral:lncRNA from 1 species